GAAGAUCCUGAUGGGAAUAGUGGAGUUUCUAAACCUUAUAUGUUAGAAUCUUUACCAGUAAAUCUGUGGGGAAGAGAUAUAUUAAACAAAAUAGGAUUAUCAUUAAUAACUCCAAAUUCUAUGAGAUCGUCUGAGGAAAUUAAUCAAGGGUUUCCCCCUAGAGAUAAUGAAAGAAAUUAUCAGAACGAGUAUCUGCUUACAAACCAGUCUCCUGACGGAGACUAGUAAAUGCUUCAGACCAAAAUUUUUUCUAGGGGCCCUGAGUGUCUCCCUAAUCCAAAAGACAGAAAAAAAAAAUCACCUGGCUCACAGAAGAGCAUAUAUGGAUUUCUCAGUGGCCUAUCUCAGGGGAAAAACUUAAGAUAUUCAUGUUUUAGUUGAGGAACAACUUUAGGCUGGUCAUAUAAAAUCAAUGCUUAGUCCUUGAAACACCCCCAUUUUUGUUAUUUUAAAAAAGUCAGGUAAUUGGAGUUUACUAUUGGGCCAAUAAUAUAUCAUCCAUGAAAUGAAUAAUAUAUGCAUCAGGAAAGUUAUUUUUUAUAGGAGUUAUCACUUGACCCACAAAUUUUUGACAUAAAGUUGGACUAUUACACAUUCCUUGAGGCAAAACCUUCCAGCAAUAUCUCUUAACAGGUUCUUUAAAAUUAAUUGUUGGGAUACUAAAAGCAAAUUUUUUAUAAUCCUCAGGAUGCAACCUUAUUGAGAAAAAAACAAUCUUUUAGAUAUAUCACCAUUAAGCUAUAAUUUAAAGGAAUUUCUGUAGGAGAAGGAAGUCCAGGCUGCAAUGAUCCCAUAGGCUGAAUUGCAUGGUUUGUUGCCCUUAAAUCCAAGAUAUUCAAAAUAAUAGAGCUGAUUUUUCAGAUCCUUCUUCUGUAGCUAAUCAAAUAUUAAAGGAAUUAAGUGGAUUUAACCCUGAAACAUUCUUAAACACUCGGCCUGGUACAUUAUUGCAUUGUUCUCUUUGCUGUUAAUUCUCUUUUGUGUUGUAAUUAUAGGAUGGCGAGUCUUCAGAGUGAGAGUGCAGAGACUCGAGAGAGUAAAUCAUCACCUGCUUUUUAAAAGAAAAAAGGGGGGAAUAUGUGGGAGGCCAUCCUUGCACAUGAUUUGAGUUACCUCCCUGGUUGGGUGAGAGGUACUUAGGUACAUCUUGUGUCCAGAGCUUUCUCCACCCUUCUCAGGUCUAAGGGCUUGUUGGUGUGGAGGCAUGUCUGGCCACUACCCCGAAGACCCAAUCGUCGCCCCUGACCUUGGGACGCUGCCCCCCUUAAUCUUCAUUGGAUGGGAUUUUCCCCAGAAUUUUUUGUUCCCCAAUAAAAGUCCACUCCAUGGCAUGUUUUCUC
rnacentral:lncRNA from 1 species